rnacentral:rRNA from 1 species
ACAAGUGCAUGUGGUGGAUGCCUUGGCGAUUACAGGCGAUGAAGGACGCGGUAGCCUGCGAAAAGCUUCGGGGAGCUGGCAAACGAGCUUUGAUCCGGAGAUGUCCGAAUGGGGAAACCCGGCCCGAAUGGGUCAUCCCUGACUGAAUACAUAGGUCAGGGAAGCGAACGCGGCGAACUGAAACAUCUAAGUAGCUGCAGGAACAGAAAUCAACCGAGAUUCCCAAAGUAGUGGCGAACGAAAUGGGAAGAGCCUUGUACUCUUUAGCAGCAUUGUUAGCAGAACGGGAUGGAAAGCCCGGCCAUAGCAGGUGAUAGCCCUGUAUGCGAAAACAGCGUUGUGGAACUAGGUGUACGACAAGUAGGGCGGGACACGUGAAAUCCUGUCUGAAGAUGGGGGGACCAUCCUCCAAGGCUAAAUACUCGUAAUCGACCGAUAGUGAACCAGUACCGUGAGGGAAAGGCGAAAAGAACCCCGGGAGGGGAGUGAAAUAGAUCCUGAAACCGCAUGCAUACAAACAGUCGGAGCCUGGAAACGGGUGACGGCGUACCUUUUGUAUAAUGGGUCAGCGACUUACAUUCAGUGGCAAGCUUAACCGAUUAGGGAAGGCGUAGCGAAAGCGAGUCCGAAUAGGGCGUUGAGUCGCUGGGUGUAGACCCGAAACCAGAUGAUCUAUCCAUGGCCAGGUUGAAGGUGCGGUAACACGUACUGGAGGACCGAACCCACUAACGUUGAAAAGUUAGGGGAUGAGCUGUGGAUAGGGGUGAAAGGCUAAACAAAUCUGGAAAUAGCUGGUUCUCUCCGAAAACUAUUUAGGUAGUGCCUCGUGUCUCACCUUCGGGGGUAGAGCACUGUCAUGGUUGGGGGGUCUAUUGCUGAUUACCCCGCCAUAGCAAACUCCGAAUACCGAAGAGUGCAAUCACGGGAGACAGACAUCGGGUGCUAACGUCCGGUGUCAAGAGGGAAACAACCCAGACCGCCAGCUAAGGUCCCAAAGAUUGGCUAAGUGGGAAACGAAGUGGGAAGGCUAAAACAGUCAGGAGGUUGGCUUAGAAGCAGCCACCCUUUAAAGAAAGCGUAAUAGCUCACUGAUCGAGUCGUCCUGCGCGGAAGAUGUAACGGGGCUAAGCCAGUCACCGAAGCUGCGGACGCACGCAAGUGCGUGGUAGGAGAGCGUUCUGUAAGCCUGUGAAGGUGUCUUGUAAAGGAUGCUGGAGGUAUCAGAAGUGCGAAUGCUGACAUGAGUAGCGAUAAAGGGGGUGAAAGGCCCCCUCGCCGUAAGCCCAAGGUUUCCUACGCAACGUUCAUCGGCGUAGGGUGAGUCGGCCCCUAAGGCGAGGCAGAGAUGCGUAGCUGAUGGGAAGCAGGUUAAUAUUCCUGCACCGUCGUAUGAUGCGAUGGGGGGACGGAUCGCGGAAGGUUGUCCGGGUGUUGGAAGUCCCGGUCCCUGCAUUGGAGAAGGCGCUUAGGCAAAUCCGGGCGCGGAAUUCAAGGAUGUGGGGCGAGCGGCCUAGUGCUGCGAAGCAAUUGGAAGUGGUUCCAAGAAAAGCCUCUAAGCUUCAGUCAUACGAGACCGUACCGCAAACCGACACAGGUGGGCGAGAUGAGUAUUCUAAGGCGCUUGAGAGAACUCGGGAGAAGGAACUCGGCAAAUUGGUACCGUAACUUCGGGAUAAGGUACGCCCUUGUAGCUUGACUGGCCUGCGCCAGGAGGGUGAAGGGGUUGCAAUAAAAUGGUGGCUGCGACUGUUUAAUAAAAACACAGCACUCUGCAAACACGAAAGUGGACGUAUAGGGUGUGACGCCUGCCCGGUGCCGGAAGAUUAAAUGAUGGGGUGCAAGCUCUUGAUUGAAGUCCCGGUAAACGGCGGCCGUAACUAUAACGGUCCUAAGGUAGCGAAAUUCCUUGUCGGGUAAGUUCCGACCUGCACGAAUGGCGUAACGAUGGCCACACUGUCUCCUCCCGAGACUCAGCGAAGUUGAAGUGUUUGUGAUGAUGCAAUCUCCCCGCGGCUAGACGGAAAGACCCCAUGAACCUUUACUGUAGCUUUGCAUUGGACUUUGAACCGAUCUGUGUAGGAUAGGUGGGAGGCUUUGAAGCGUGGACGCUAGUUCACGUGGAGCCGUCCUUGAAAUACCACCCUGGUUUGUUUGAGGUUCUAACCUUGGCCCGUGAAUCCGGGUCGGGGACAGUGCAUGGUAGGCAGUUUGACUGGGGCGGUCUCCUCCCAAAGUGUAACGGAGGAGUUCGAAGGUACGCUUGGUACGGUCGGACAUCGUACCUAAAGUGCAAUGGCAAAAGCGUGCUUAACUGCGAGACCGACAAGUCGAGCAGGUGCGAAAGCAGGACAUAGUGAUCCGGUGGUUCUGAAUGGAAGGGCCAUCGCUCAACGGAUAAAAGGUACUCUGGGGAUAACAGGCUGAUACCGCCCAAGAGUUCAUAUCGACGGCGGUGUUUGGCACCUCGAUGUCGGCUCAUCUCAUCCUGGGGCUGUAGCCGGUCCCAAGGGUAUGGCUGUUCGCCAUUUAAAGAGGUACGUGAGCUGGGUUUAAAACGUCGUGAGACAGUUUGGUCCCUAUCUGCCGUGGGCGUUGGAAUCUUGACGGGGGCUGCUCCUAGUACGAGAGGACCGGAGUGGACGUACCGCUGGUGUACCUGUUGUCUCGCCAGAGGCAUCGCAGGGUAGCUAUGUACGGAAGAGAUAACCGCUGAAAGCAUCUAAGCGGGAAACUCGCCUGAAGAUGAGGAUUCCCUGGAGGCUUGACCUCCUUGAAGGGUCGUUCGAGACCAGGACGUUGAUAGGCUGGGUGUGGAAGCGCAGUAAUGCGUUAAGCUAACCAGUACUAAUUGCCCGUAAGGCUUGAUC